AUUUUUUUUUAAACAGUCAUGCCACGUAUGAUGAUUUAAAAUAAAUCAAAAAGAAUUUCACUGGAAUUUUCUACCUUCAGAUUAAAUUAGUCAAGUUUCUUUUUUGUUCUCUACUUCUAUGCUGUAAAAAUAUAAUUGGAAAUUAAACUAUAAUUAAUUGCA